AUGCACGCUGGCGGCGUGCCUCAUACAUGCAAGUCGAGCGAACAGACGAGGAGCUUGCUCCUCUGACGUUAGCGGCGGACGGGUGAGUAACACGUGGAUAACCUACCUAUAAGACUGGGAUAACUUCGGGAAACCGGAGCUAAUACCGGAUAAUAUAUUGAACCGCAUGGUUCAAUAGUGAAAGACGGUUUUGCUGUCACUUAUAGAUGGGUCCGCGCCGCAUUAGCUAGUUGGUAAGGUAACGGCUUACCAAGGCAACGAUGCGUAGCCGACCUGAGAGGGUGAUCGGCCACACUGGAACUGAGACACGGUCCAGACUCCUACGGGAGGCAGCAGUAGGGAAUCUUCCGCAAUGGGCGAAAGCCUGACGGAGCAACGCCGCGUGAGUGAUGAAGGUCUUCGGAUCGUAAAACUCUGUUAUUAGGGAAGAACAAAUGUGUAAGUAACUAUGCACGUCUUGACGGUACCUAAUCAGAAAGCCACGGCUAACUACGUG
rnacentral:rRNA from 1 species